rnacentral:sRNA from 1 species
UUUGGAUUGAAAAAAA